AAAUUGAAGAGUUUGAUCAUGGCUCAGAUUGAACGCUGGCGGCAGGCCUAACACAUGCAAGUCGAACGGUAACAGAAAGCAGCUUGCUGCUUUGCUGACGAGUGGCGGACGGGUGAGUAAUGUCUGGGAAACUGCCUGAUGGAGGGGGAUAACUACUGGAAACGGUAGCUAAUACCGCAUAACGUCGCAAGACCAAAGGGGGGGACCUUAGGGCCUCUUGCCAUCGGAUGUGCCCAGAUGGGAUUAGCUAGUAGGUGGGGUAA
rnacentral:rRNA from 1 species